AACGAACGCUGGCGGCAGGCCUAACACAUGCAAGUCGAACGCCGUAGCAAUACGGAGUGGCAGACGGGUGAGUAACGCGUGGGAACGUGCCCUUUGGUUCGGAAUAACCCAGGGAAACUUGGGCUAAUACCGGAUACGUCCGAAAGGAGAAAGAUUUAUCGCCGAAGGAUCGGCCCGCGUCGGAUUAGCUAGUUGGUGGGGUAAUGGCCCACCAAGGCGACGAUCCGUAGCUGGUCUGAGAGGAUGAUCAGCCACACUGGGACUGAGACACGGCCCAGACUCCUACGGGAGGCAGCAGUGGGGAAUAUUGGACAAUGGGCGAAAGCCUGAUCCAGCCAUGCCGCGUGAGUGAAGAAGGCCUUAGGGUUGUAAAGCUCUUUCAGCGGGGAAGAUAAUGACGGUACCCGCAGAAGAAGCCCCGGCUAACUUCGUGCCAGCAGCCGCGGUAAUACGAAGGGGCUAGCGUUGUUCGGAUUUACUGGGCGUAAAGCGCGCGUAGGCGGGUCACUAAGUCAGGGGUGAAACG
rnacentral:rRNA from 1 species